UAGGGUCCGCCCACAGAUGUUGUCUGGCCCUGGAGCUGUGUUCUUUUUAGUCCUUUUGAGGGCUCUCACCACCUCUGAUGUGUUGAUGUUGAGGCCGGAGUCAUCAGGUCUGAGUGUGGAGACGAUUGAUUCUAGCUGGGUGCUGUUGUCCUUUUCAAAUCUGGUGUAGAAGGAGUUGAGAUCAUUCGGGAGUGAAGUGAAGCUGCUUCCUGCUACCUGAAUGGGCUUGCGGCUGGUAGAGACAGAGUUCACUGCUGCCAUGUUCUUGAGGCCCUGCCAAGCCGCACGGAGGUUCCCUUUUCCAAAGGUCUGCUCCACUUUGUUCUUGUAUUUCAGCUUGGCAAUUUUUAUGGCCCGCUUGACCUCUCUGUUUACUUCCUUCUUCUCAGCUUCAGAACCGGUAAAAAAUGUUCUCUUUUUCUUAUUCAAUAUGUUUUUUAGAUCUUUAGUCACCCAGGGUUUAUUGUUAGGGAAGAUUGUGACCUUCUUGGAGGGGAUAAUAUUGUCUACACAGAAAGUGAUGUAUGCUGAGACUGUAUCCGCUUGCUCACUGAUGUUGGUGGAGGAGGAUGUGAGGGUAUUCCAGUCUGUGGUUUCAAAACACCCUUGAAGCCUGUCAAUACUGUCCGGUGUCCACUUGUAAGUACAGUUUA